rnacentral:lncRNA from 1 species
GUCCGGUUUGCUAUAAAUCUAACUUCAAACGUAAAAUAUCGUACUGAUUACUUUGAACGAAAUCAAAUCUGAUAAAUGAAGGCGGUGAUUAAUUUUCUUUACCAUAACACAUAAAUAUAAUAGAAAAGACGUCAACACAUUUGACAAAAUCCGAUGAGAAUUACAAAUAUAACAUUAAACAUUUAAACUAAAUACAUGAAUUUGGGAUGGAUAAGUACCGUACCACGUCUUAUAGUAAUGCGAGUGCACACUCGGCAAAACAGUCACAAUCGGGGAAUAAGUCACGUUUGGUAAUUAAAAGAUUAGACGACAUUAUGACAAAACACAAUCUACCAUGUGGUAAAAAUGUCCUUAGCAAGUUUGGUCAACGAAACAUCGUAUGGAUCCACCAAAUCGUGAUGGUGUCCAUAAAAUUUACGGAGUGUCAAUUUUAAUCUGUCCUCCUCAUAACUUUGUUGGAGCAGUUUCUGCGUAAGGAGCACACUCCUGUAUAUGAAGUCCGUAUAGUGUGAACAAGCACGAGAAUAACGUAUCAAUUGUGAUAUGUAAACACCAUACGAAGGGCAGAGGGUAUGUUACUGCUGAGAAAUGGGAAAUUGAUAAUUGGGAAGUUGAAAUCGUCCCGUUUAUCAUAGAUUUUGGUGUGAAGUCGUCCAUCUACGUCAAUAUUGAGGAAAAGAUCAAGGUAUGAAGCAGUCCUUCUAGUAUCAGUGGUAUCCUUAAUUUCAAGUUCACUUGGAUAUAUGAGAUGUAAGUAUUGGCUGAAAUAUGGGUUAUUCAAUGAUAGAACAUCAUCAAUAUAUCGGAAAGUAAAAUUAAAGAAUUUCGCAAGGUGCUUUUUCUUUUUGUCUUUUAGAAGGUUCUGAAUGAAUUCUGCUUCAUACGAGUACAAAAACAAAUCAGCCAGCAGGGGUGCACAAUUAGUACCCAUUGGAAUACCGACUGUCAUUUGAAAUAUAAAUCCUCCAAACUCAACAAAUAUAUUGUCGAUCAAAAAGUCCAGCAUUUUGAUAAUAUCAUCUUC